rnacentral:tmRNA from 1 species
GGGGGUGUACCGGAUUCGACUGGGCGAAAAAGGGAAAGUAUAAGCAUACCGUAGGACUCGGCUACGUUAAAACGAUAAACCAAAUUUAAAUGCGAAUAAUAACGAAUUUGCACUCGCUGCUUAAUUAACGCAGCGAUGUCGCUUUGCGGAAAUCCCGUCGGCUGCAAAGCGGCAUCAUUCAAGACGGGGAACGGCUUUUAUGUUUUGAUUGCGGCAUAACGGCGGCACUUAGUAAUAUACGGCAAAAAUAGUCGGUAUACAGACAGUUUUUGCAAGAGAUUAAAAGUAUACUAAGUAUGUAGAAGGCUUUUCGGUUUUUACUCAAGACAGGGGUUCAACCCCCCUCACCUCCACCA